rnacentral:rRNA from 1 species
UGGCCCAGAUCGUUUACCGUGAAAAAAUUAGAGUGUUCAAAGCAGGCAGAUCCAAUUUUCUGCCACCGAAUACAUUAGCAUGGGAUAAUGGAAUAGGACCCUGUCCUCCUAUUUUCAGUUGGUUUUGGCAGCGCGAGGACUAGGGUAAUGAUUAAUAGGGAUAGUUGGGGGCAUUAAUAUUUAAUUGUCAGAGGUGAAAUUCUUGGAUUUAUGAAAGAUUAACUUCUGCGAAAGCAUCUGCCAAGGAUGUUUUCAUUAAUCAAGAACGAAAGUUAGGGGAUCGAAGACGAUCAGAUACCGUCGUAGUCUUAACCAUAAACGAUGCCGACCAGCGAUUAGGAGACGUUGAAUACAAAACACCACCAUCGGCGCGGCCGUCCUUGGCCGUGCGUCUCGUUUCGGCGAGGCGUUUGGCGGGGGCGGCUAGCCCA